rnacentral:rRNA from 1 species
UACGUAGGGGGCGAGCGUUGUCCGGAGUUACUGGGCGUAAAGCGCGCGCAGGCGGCUAUCCAAGUCAGUGGUGAAAGCCCGGAGCUCAACUCCGGAACUGCCAUUGAAACUGUUUAGCUUGAGGAUGAGAGAGGUGAGUGGAAUUCCCAGUGUAGAGGUGAAAUUCGUAGAUAUUGGGAAGAACACCGGUGGCGAAGGCGGCUCACUGGCUCAUUACUGACGCUCAGGCGCGAUAGCGUGGGGAUCAAACAGG